rnacentral:lncRNA from 1 species
CCGGAGAUAGCUUGCUUCCUCUCUCACCCUCACCAUGGAAGGAAGAGUGAGACGCACCUGCUCACAAGCCAAGCCAGGAAACCAGCCCUCAGGAGAGCACACCCUGCUGGUACACUGAUCUCAGAAUUCCGGCCUCCAGACUGUGAAAAAUUAAUGUGUAUUGUUGAAGCCACUUAUUCUACGAAAUUUUGUUAUAGGAGAUCUGGAAGACUGAGACAGAUAAAUGAAGAGAUUAGCUCCAAGAGCCAUCUCAUUGGUCUUCUCCUUUGGAAGACAGAAAGUGAGGGGAGGGAACGAGUAAGCCCUGCAAUUCAGCACACUGCCAAGGACACCCUCACCCUUAGAACAGGAGUCUCCAACUUGGAGCCUCAGGGCAGGAUACAGCGGAGGAUGUUUCAUCUGCUUCACAAGCCAUUAGUACAAAUUGAAUUCGAAUGUUCUUAGGCACUGAUGUGCAGGUAAAUGUUUAAAUAGCGAACUCUGAUGUAGGAGGGGUGGAAGCCGUGAUUUCUGGAGCUUGCCGAUUUCUGUGGUAUAAAUGGUGGAUCCCUAGCUUUACAGUGAGAACGCUGAGAGAGGACUUGGGAAGAACUGUGUGCCGCCCACCCUCCAGAGUCCAUGUGGGUUUCCACUCUUCAGAGUCCACGUCAUCUGCCCUGGCCCCAGUGAGAGAUGGAAUUCGUGACUUCUGCCAGCAGCUUUUCGAGGCUCCUGAAGUUGGUCACAAAGCCGGAGUGAGGAAUGUGCUGGCUCUUUUGCGGUGUCAUCAGAGACUCGCGUUCAUGGUGAACUCGCGUUCAGGAUGAUUUGGCAGAAAAAAACAAGAAUUGAGGUUGGGACGCAGGAGCCGCAGAAAGUGUGGCUUGGAUGUCACUUAACUGGGGGCUGCCUGUCUCUGUUCCCAUCUGUCAAAAAACAGCUGCAAGGUCACAGUAAAUGAAAGGUGGGAUUCACUUGAAAAUGCAAGAGGACCACAUAGAAGAAGAUAUGUUAUGAUUUCUCCCCCUCAGCUUCCCCAUUCUACCAAAUGAGACAUUCGGCAAGGGCUGGAUGCUAUUUGUCUUUUCACACAUCCUUUUGCUAAUUUUCAGCGGGCUUCUAAGCGCUGAUAUAAAUGUGCAGGCCGUGUGGAAACUGACGGUGAGACAGAUUUAUAUUAAAAAUUAUACACAUCUAUUUUACUACCACAUUUAAUGAUGCAAUUAUUGUUAAGACGAAAUACAUUUUGAGUUUCUUGAAAUGAAAUAAAGACAAGAACAUAUUACUUAAACAUUGU